GGCGAUGCGCGUGUCACCUGCUCAGCCAGGUGGGCGCUGAGGGGACGCAUGGGAGGUUUGGACCAUUGCAUGUCCUUUGUAAGACAUAAUUCUUUCAUGCAGAGCAUGUUCAGCUCGCCUUCACACGGGAAACUCUUGCUACAGGUUGGAUGGUUGCUUCCAAGGUCCCUGACGAUACACCUGCGUCACUCUUCAGUGACCCUGCCUCCGCCGCCCUCUGACAAUACUUCUAAAGCAGUUGAUGCGGUCACUAACGGUUUUCUGGCACCAGCAGCGCCACCUGUGCACGUGGUGUAGGCAUGAAGGGGAAGGAACCUAUAAUUGCCUUAGGUUCACGACCAGGUCGUCAGAU